CAUUCAAUAGUAGUAAUAUUUUAAAAUAGAUGUUUCUAAGAAUUGUCACUUUUUAACUUCUCUGCUAUUAACAUUAAAGAAGAAAACUCAUUACAACGUUUUUGAAAUGCAGAUCUUGAAUCUAGAAUCCUUUUUACAUAUUUAUGCAUAAGAAGAAAAAAAGUGAGAAGUGACUAAUGCAAAUAUUAUAUUUUUCUCUUUGUGAUUCUUUUGUGAAAGUAUCCACUCUAGCCUCUUUUUUUUUUCUUUCUUUUUAUUUUUUCCCCCCAAGUACUUAAUAAAACCAUUAGUUUAAUGAAACAGGUUUGUCUUAGAGGUAGCUGGUCUUGGAAGGAUCUCAAGAGAGAAUGAGAAGAAUUCUCAACAAAAACAAUCACUAUGACCAAUUCAGAGAUGUCUCAUUGUUUCACAAUCUAUGAACACUAAAAAGAUGCUGUUGACUGAGAAAUAACACUACAGUACUGAAUUAUAAAGAUACUGGAAAUGACAAUUUCCAGGUGGAAUAAAAAAGGAAAGAUGUUGAAGUAUACCCUUGACACAAUAAGUUACCAUUUAAGGUAAACAUUGUUACCUGGACUUUUAGAGGAACAUGAGAGAAGAAAUUACAGAAAUAAUAUAUGCUAGCAAAAAGAUGUGUUUUUUGUCCAUAGAAUAUUCAUCAUGGACCUUUGAACAUUUCUUCUCACAGUGUGUAUAUCUUGAAUAUACACUGAAGACUCAAAGGUUGCCUGAUACAGUACUGAGAAUGGAUGAAAAUUUGUGUGCUUAUUCAGGACACUAUGACCCUCUGCUGCUGUUGUGUAACAUCUGUGCCUGCUGCUUCAUGGACUGGCAUACCAGUAAAUGGAAGGAGAUUCAGACCUUGCAGGGAAUUUCAAUGCCCACUGUGCCUUCUAGAAUCAGAACAUUGUCACCUGCAAAAAGCUCAGAGAGGUUGAAAACCCACAGCAAAAAAAGAAGGAAAAGUUAUAAUGAAUGAAUCUGGAGAAUUUUGAGUCUGGGUUUCUGUUAUAAAAUACUUCACAUACAUUGUAAUUUGAUCUCAGGAUUUGCAACUGCAGGGGUUCAUCCCGCAAUCUGUUACUCGUGCUACAUGAGGGACACAGUUCACUUCACCUCCUCCCCCUCUCCUGACAAUGU
rnacentral:lncRNA from 7 species